UACGGAGGGGGCUAGCGUUGUUCGGAAUUACUGGGCGUAAAGCGCGCGUAGGCGGCUUUUGUAAGUUAGAGGUGAAAGCCCGGAGCUCAACUCCGGAAUUGCCUUUAAGACUGCAUCGCUAGAAUUGUGGAGAGGUAAGUGGAAUUCCGAGUGUAGAGGUGAAAUUCGUAGAUAUUCGGAAGAACACCAGUGGCGAAGGCGACUUACUGGACACAUAUUGACGCUGAGGUGCGAAAGCGUGGGGAGCAAACAGG
rnacentral:rRNA from 1 species